GACGUAGGGCGCGAGCGUUGUCCGGAUUUAUUGGGCGUAAAGAGCUCGUAGGCGGUGUGUCACGUCGGCCGUGAAAACCUGCAGCUUAACUGUGGGCGUGCGGUCGAUACGGGCAUCACUGGAGUUCGGCAGGGGAGACUGGAAUUCCUGGUGUAGCGGUGAAAUGCGCAGAUAUCAGGAGGAACACCGGUGGCGAAGGCGGGUCUCUGGGCCGAUACUGACGCUGGAGGAGCGAAAGCAUGGGGAGCGAACAGG
rnacentral:rRNA from 1 species